CCUACGGGAGGCAGCAGUGGGGAAUUUUGGACAAUGGGGGCAACCCUGAUCCAGCCAUGCCGCGUGAGUGAAGAAGGCCUUCGGGUUGUAAAGCUCUUUCGGCCGGAACGAAAUCGCGCACGUGAAUAACGUGCGUGGAUGACGGUACCGGAGUAAGAAGCACCGGCUAACUACGUGCCAGCAGCCGCGGUAAUACGUAGGGUGCGAGCGUUAAUCGGAAUUACUGGGCGUAAAGCGUGCGCAGGCGGUUCGCUAAGUCAGACGUGAAAGCCCCGGGCUUAACCUGGGAACGGCGUUUGAAACUGGCGGGCUCGAGUACGGCAGAGGGGGGUGGAAUUCCACGUGUAGCAGUGAAAUGCGUAGAUAUGUGGAGGAACACCGAUGGCGAAGGCAGCCCCCUGGGCCGAUACUGACGCUCAUGCACGAAAAGCGUGGGGAGCAAACAGGAUUAGAUACCCUGGUAGUCCACGCCCUAAACUAUGUCAACUAGUUGUCGGGGAAGCAAUUCCUUGGUAACGCAGCUAACGCGUGAAGUUGACCGCCUGGGGAGUACGGUCGCAAGAUUAAAACUCAAAGUAUAGUUAGCGUGNGAGAGNGCGAGACGACAGAGGAGGAG
rnacentral:rRNA from 1 species